AACUUCUCAACCAACAUCAGAUGAUGUUGGCUUGGAUGUGGGGGUUGUUUUUGCAGGCUUUUUCUUGUUAGAAGGUCGGCUCCCCUGAAAUGGAUUAGUGGUAUCUGAGGCUACUACUGUGGGUGUGAUAACUAUCUAUGCCUUUGGUAUGCCGCAUGAACAGAUUACACUGCUUCUAACAAAACAAAAUUUGAUAA
rnacentral:misc_RNA from 1 species